CUGAGGCCUCUGCUUUCCCUCGUGUCCCUUUGUCCUGGCAAGAAUGAGAGCACUGAUGUUGUGAGACUGAUAUCACGUCUGAAGAGAAGGCAUCUUGUUAAAAUAGCAUGAAAAAGAAAGAGUCGGGGCACCAAUCUGCUCAUGUUUGGAGCUCAAGAGUCACAUUUUUACAAUGUGGUAUUUAUACCAAAGGAAGUACUACUCACCCAUAAAGGAGGAACUUGUUUGUAAAGGAACUGUGAGAUUGGUUGGUAAUUACCCAAGACCAUGAACAACCUGAAGAGGAGGAUUUUCCUGUGUAAAUCACUGCACAUACUCCUGGAAUGUUAUCCCAGCAGUCAGGAUGAAGGCAAAUCCUAAGACUUGGAACGAAUCCAUGAUAUAAAACUGACUCAGAACGACCGAGCAGAGACUGUCCCUUCCUAACUCGUGCGCCUCCAGCUUGCUCAUCCGCAGGUGAACGCUUUACCUCCUGGCCACAACUGCUCUCCGCUUUGCUGUUCUCCUCCGUCAAAGUGACUACUUUGCUUCUGUCAUCCUGUGUUACUACCACCCAUAUUCAUUUCAUCUUAGAGAACCAAUUGGAGCAUUUUCUUCUAUCACCUGUAUACCAAGAAUGGAUGAAUCUCAGGAAAAAUGAAGAUCAGGAGAAAUCAGAACUGCAGCUUGUUAACACUUGAAUUCCCAGAGCCAGAUCUUUCCUUGAGUUGUAGCAGGAAGUCCAGAAGCACUGAUUGAACUGAAUGAAAAUUUACCAGAUAAUGAAGGAUGUUUGAGUGCCGUUCUACACA